rnacentral:rRNA from 1 species
UACGUAGGGUGCGAACGUUAAUCGGAAUUACUGGGCGUAAAGCGUGCGCAGGCGGUUCGCCAAGUCAGGUGUGAAAUCCCCGGGCUUAACCUGGGAAUUGCGCUUGAAACUAGCGGGCUUGAGUGUGGCAGAGGGGGGUGGGAAUUCCACGUGUAGCAGUGAAAUGCGUAGAGAUGUGGAGGAACACCGAUGGCGAAGGCAGCCCCCUGGGUCAACACUGACGCUCAUGCACGAAAGCGUGGGGAGCAAACAGG